rnacentral:rRNA from 1 species
CCUACGGGUGGCUGCAGUGGGGAAUAUUGCACAAUGGGCGCAAGCCUGAUGCAGCCAUGCCGCGUGUGUGAAGAAGGCCUUCGGGUUGUAAAGCACUUUCAGCGGGGAGGAAGGCGUUAAGGUUAAUAACCUUGUCGAUUGACGUUACCCGCAGAAGAAGCACCGGCUAACUCCGUGCCAGCAGCCGCGGUAAUACGGAGGGUGCAAGCGUUAAUCGGAAUUACUGGGCGUAAAGCGCACGCAGGCGGUCUGUCAAGUCGGAUGUGAAAUCCCCGGGCUCAACCUGGGAACUGCAUUCGAAACUGGCAGGCUAGAGUCUUGUAGAGGAGGGUAGAAUUCCAGGUGUAGCGGUGAAAUGCGUAGAGAUCUGGAGGAAUACCGGUGGCGAAGGGGCCCCCUGGACAAAGACUGACGCUCAGGUGCGAAAGCGUGGGGAGCAAACAGGAUUAGAUACCCCUGUAGUC